rnacentral:rRNA from 1 species
UCGAGAAUAUUCGACAAUGGGCGAAAGCCUGAUCGAGCGACGCCGCGUGCAGGAUGAAGGCCCUCGGGUUGUAAACUGCGGUAGUAGGGGAGGAACGCAAGUGACUGUACCCUACGGAAAGUGGUUGGUAACUACGUGCCAGCACCAGCGGUAAUACGUAGACCACAAGCGUUAUCCGGAUUUAUUGGGCGUAAAGAGCAUGUAGGAGGUCCGGUGCGUCUCUGGUUAAAGCCCACCGCCUAACGGUGGAAGUGCCAGAGAUACGAUCGGACUGGAGGAUGUGAGAGGUGCAUGGAACUCACGGUGUAGGGGUGAAAUCCGUUGAUAUCGUGGGGAACACCAAAGGCGAAGGCAGCGCACUGGCCAAAAUCUGACGCUCACACACGAAAGCUAGGGUAGCGAAGAGGAUUAGAUACCCAUGUAGUCCCUGAGCGGGCUGGCAAGGCGCAU